UCUGUUUGUGUAUUAAAAAUGUUAAUCUGCUAGAAUUUCCACAUAUGAAACAUCUUUCUUGUCAACCAAGAAGCAUAUCGGAUACCUCCAUGUCUGCAAGUCUCCUGUUUCUUAUAUAGUAUGUAUGGACUCAAUUGAUCCAUAGUUUUUCCUUGUUCUGACUCAAUAGCCACAACAAUUUGCAGAUUGCAGCUUGAUUCAAGACCUUCAAGUUAAUAUUCAAGCCUCCUGCACCUUUAGGAAGAGUCACCUUGUCCCAAGCUACAGGUGUCCUUUUAGUAAUAUUGGUCUGACCUGUCCAUAAAUAGUUCCUACAAGCAGCUUCGAUGAGUUUAAUAACCUUUUGUGGUAGUAAAAAUACUCAUGACCUGUAUGCUUGAACACCAAAUAGUAUUUCUAUAAUAACUUGAAGCCUCCCGGCAUAUGAUAAUUCUCUAGCCAUCCAGUUAGUGAUCUUUGUUGUAAUUUUGUCUACUAAAGGUUUGUAUUGCAAAACUGUUAUUCUUUUAGUAUACAAAGGAACUCCUAAGUAUUUAAAUGGUAAGUCACCUAUUUCAUAGUACAACAAACACAAUAUGUCAUUCCUUUCAUCCGUCCCUAACCACCCAAACAAACAUGGUUAUUUAAGUACUUCAUUCUCAUUCUUAUGAGUGAUUAACGCCUUGAGCUUUUGUGCUAUUUCCAGAAAUCUCCAAAAAUAUAAAUAUAAUGCUCGAAAUAAAGUACACGUUGAAGGAUCCAUAUGCAAUGCACAUAUAAUUGAGGAAGCUUCAUCAUUUGGUUCACACUACUUAGAGCGUCAUGUUUAUACAAGGCAUAAAAAAGUGCCACGGAAUGACGAUGGUGGUAUAGGUGAACAAGAUGGAUACGAGGGUAAUCUUUCUAUAUUCACCUAUCCAGUUCGAGGAUUUGGGGAACUAAAUUGGAGAUAUCUAACCAAAGAAGAACUUAAUGCAGCUCAUAUUUAUAUUUUAGUAAAUUGAAGAGAAGUGCAGCAUAUGUGAAAUUCACAUGUAACUUUGAAAUUGUAAAAAUAGCGCCAAGGGGGUGGACCAAGCAGAUAUUCAGGAAAAAGAAAAGUAGAUCCAGUGACAUCUCUUCCAGUGUCAAGUUUGGCACCUAAUCAAGCACCAUCAUUGCCUGAAUGCCAAUACCAGUGACACCAGAUUCAGUCGCAGUCAAUAUAUCACUACCUUCUUUAUUUGUGGGGAUUGAAACACCAAGAAAUGACAUUGUAUCAACAACUUCGUCAAAUACAACUGAUGGUACCCCCAUGUCAAUUGAAAUCGUCCUGGGACAUUAAGUGUUUAGCAUCGUUUCAUUUACAUUGUUUAACUUUAGGCAUGUAAGUAAGCUAUGCUGGUUUUCUUUCCAUACUUUUUUUUCUAUAAACCUUUCAAAAGUUAUGUUGGUUUUCUUAAGUUGCAUUGAUGGGGAAUUAAUUACAGAAUUGAGGUGUGGCAUUUCUUUGAUUUGAA